AGAUGGUGACAAUCUGUGGCCAAGAUGCUGCCGGAAGAUGACUACAGGCACAGGAGAGGAGUUUCAGGCAGAAAACAAAAGAAGAGAGAACAUUUCACAACUCAUUUUAUGAAGCCAGCAUUACCUUGGUACCAAAACUGGGCAAAGAUAGUACAAUAAAAGCUCAGACCAGCAUCCGUCAUGAACAUAGACACGAACAUCAUCAACAAAAUAUUUCAGCAACAUUCAUCAACAAAUUCAAAUCCAGGAACAUUAAAAGGAACAAUACACCAUGGCGAGGGCAAUUUUUCUCAAGGAUAUAAGGUUUGUUCAUCAAAAAUGAAUCAAUGGAAUCUGUCAAACUAUCAGUAUGAAGAAGAAAAAAAACACAUGAUCAUAUUAAUUUAAGCAGAAAAAGCAUUUGGCAAACUUGAACAUGUAUUCAUGGCAAAAACUUUCAGCAAACUAAGAAUAAAAGAGAACUUCCUCAACUCUGUAAAGUGUGUCUACAAAAACCCUACAGCCAACAUCCUACUCCAUGCUGAAAGACUGAAUGCCCCUAAAUUAGGAACAAGACAAAGAUAUCCACUUCCAGCAUCCAAAUGUUCUUCAACUAAUGGAUGAAUAAACAGGUCAUGGUAGAUACAUACAAUGAAAUGGUACUCAGCAGUAAAAAGGAACAAACUAUUGAUACACGACAGCCUGUAUAACAUUAUGCUUAGUAAAAGGAAGCUAGUCUCAAAAAUU